GUUUUAGAAUCUUUAGGUAAGUGUUAAAUUCUUAAUUUAAUUGUAGGGAAAAUGUUUCUCUCUAGAAUA
rnacentral:tRNA from 1 species